CAGCCGCGGUAAUACGUAGGGGGCGAGCGUUGUCCGGAAUUACUGGGCGUAAAGGGCACGCAGGCUGUGCUUCAAGUCAGCUGUAAAAGGAUGCGGCUUAACCGUGUUAUGCAGUUGAGACUGAGGUGCUGGAGUACCGGAGAGGCAGGUGGAAUUCCCAGUGUAGCGGUGAAAUGCGUAGAUAUUGGGAAGAACAUCGGUGGCGAAGGCGACUUGCUGGACGGUAACUGACGCUGAGGUGCGAAAGCCAGGGUAGCGAACGGGAUUAGAUACCCCGGUAGUCCUGGCUGUAAACGAUGAAUGCUAGGUGUGCGAGCAGAGAUGUUGGUGUGCCGCAGUUAACGCGAUAAGCAUUCCGCCUGGGGAGUACGGUCGCAAGAUUGAAACUCAAAGGAAUUGACGGGGGCCCGCACAAGCGGUGGAGCACGUGGUUUAAUUCGAUGCAAACCGAAGAACCUUACCUGGGUUUGACAU
rnacentral:rRNA from 1 species